rnacentral:rRNA from 1 species
GACGAACGCUGGCGGCGUGCUUAAAACAUGCAAGUCGAACGGACUUCUCAUGAAGCUUGCGAUUGAGAAGUUAGUGGCGGACGGGUGAGUAACGCGUGGGCAACCUGCCCCUGAGCCCGGGAUAACAGUUCGAAAGGACUGCUAAGACCGGAUAUACUUGCGGGGAAGCAUUUCACUGCAAGGAAAGGGAACGCUCAGGGGAUGGGCCCGCGUCCCAUUAGCUAGUUGGUGAGGUAACGGCCACCAAGGCGACGAUGGGUAGCCGGCCUGAGAGGGUGAACGGCCACACUGGGACUGAGACACGGCCCAGACUCCUACGGGAGGCAGCAGUGGGGAAUAUUGGGCAAUGGGCGAAAGCCUGACCCAGCAACGCCGCGUGAAGGAAGAAGGCCUUCGGGUUGUAAACUUCUUUGACCAGGGACGAAAAAAUAGACGGUACCUGGAAACAAGACCACGGCUAACUACGUGCCAGCAGCCGCGGUAAUCGAUACUCGUA